rnacentral:rRNA from 1 species
CGUAGGUAACCUGCCUGGUAGCGGGGGAUAACUAUUGGAAACGAUAGCUAAUACCGCAUAAGAGUAGAUGUUGCAUGACAUUUGCUUAAAAGGUGCAAUUGCAUCACUACCAGAUGGACCUGCGUUGUAUUAGCUAGUUGGUGGGGUAACGGCUCACCAAGGCGACGAUACAUAGCCGACCUGAGAGGGUGAUCGGCCACACUGGGACUGAGACACGGCCCAGACUCCUACGGGAGGCAGCAGUAGGGAAUCUUCGGCAAUGGACGGAAGUCUGACCGAGCAACGCCGCGCGAGUGAAGAAGGUUUUCGGAUCGUAAAGCUCUGUUGUAAGAGAAGAACGAGUGUGAGAGUGGAAAGUUCACACUGUGACGGUAUCUUACCAGAAAGGGACGGCUAACUACGUGCCAGCAGCCGCGGUAAUACGUAGGUCCCGAGCGUUGUCCGAAUUUAUUGGGCGUAAAGCGAGCGCAGGCGGUUAGAUAAGUCUGAAGUUAAAGGCUGUGGCUUAACCAUAGUACGCUUUGGAAACCGUUUAACUUGAGUGCAAGAGGGGAGAGUGGAAUUCCAUGUGUAGCGGUGAAAUGCGUAGAUAUAUGGAGGAACACCGGUGGCGA